UUUGAGUUUGUUUCUCUGCAGCCAGUCACCUGCUGAACCCUGGGGACCACCACACACCCUUCAGGUACCAUCAGUUACAUCCCUUCUGGUGUGAUGCAGCACUGGCCCUCACACCAGGGAGCUGUGGCCAUGUGGAAGCCAUGACUGCUCAGAUGAAGGCCUCUGAUAAUUAUCCACCCUCCCACUUCCCUGCUGCAUGGACCAGAUAGCUGCAAGCCAAGGCCAUUACUCAGCGUAUCAUCAGGUUUUCCCCUCAAACCCACUGAAGACCAAGAACCCCAGUUCACACAAUGCUUUUGGCAUCAGUGGACUCCUCCUUGCCACACAUCGAACAACUCUGCAGCAGCAUGGCAGCUCUGCAUCCUGACACAAUCAAGUGUGAAGGUGUAGGGACAUCAAGAAAAGCAAGCUGCAUGUUCCUUCCCCUUGGCUCGCCUCUCCUAGCACUGCGAGACACAGAAGUUGAAAGUCAAGCUUUUGAGUUACCAGCAAUUUCCACUUUGGUGCAUUAUUGCCUUUGCUGCAGUGCUUUUAUAAGCCUGUUUAUAAGACAAUAGACAAUGGGAGAAGUUGCUGGGGUUCCCAGUGGACAUAUGUUGACAAUAAACCCCUGUAACAGAGGUCAAAUGUGUGUUCCCAGAAUAACAGAGGGUAACUUGCUGCCUGAGGAGCGUCACACUGCAAACGAACCGAUAGAGAAGAGAAGUCUGAUUGUUUAAACCACUGAGUCAGCUUGGCCCAAGAAGACUAAUUUUCCAGAAGAUCUGAUCUCUUUACUCACUGCAAGAACAUGACAACAUGUCUCUCCCACUGGCAUUGCUUAUGUGUAUGCAAAGGUCCUUGUAGUCAUAGAUAUAAAGCCGUUUGAAAUGAUUUGAAGUGUAAAGAGGCAGCACCACCCUGAACAUCAUGUUCUUGACCAGGUGCCCCCGCUGGUGGAAAGCCUCUCUCCAAGUGAGACAUGAGAGUGAAUCAGACAACAGUUUCAUGUGCGUGGGGUGGCUCUGCACAAUAUUGGGGGAGUGAAGAAAAUAUAAAAUGCUGAAUCCUAUUUUUAAGAAGUUGUAACUUGGCUUUACUUUUCCGUCGUAUGAAGUCUCUUUGGGCGGGAAAGCAUUUUUAACACAUUGUUUGCAAAAAAAAAAAAAAGACUGACCUAGUGGAGACUUCAUCUUUUGCUGGCCACUCCAUCUCCUUGCAGCUGCUGGAAAGAAUUCAGAGGUUCUUUUUUUCAGUGGCUGCAGAUACACUGGUUGUGCUCUGAUAGCCAGAGGAUGGUAGGAUGGCUGACUGAAUUGGACAACCCAUAUUCAUUUGUGCCAAAGAUAGGCUGCUCAGAUUGUGUUUCAUGUUCUGGGAGCCUGUCACACCAAGCUCUCCCUGGUGUUACAGGAGCUGUGCUGUGUGCAAGGUGUUUUGAAUAGCAAUGUGAGCACAUAUGUGAGCACAGGGAGGACAGGAUGGUUUGCACAGGCUCCAGAAGCAUUUUGGCAAACAGAAACUCUCUACUUGAAAAAACAUGGGUGUCAAUAUACAGAAAAUACAUCUAUCUACAAAGUGAUCCAAAACUGGCUGUGGGACAGUCCAAGUCUCCUCCAUGUGCCAUCUCCACAGCAGCAGGGAAGUUGCUAAUGUGCAAUGACAACAAUUGUCCUAUGUUUAAUGCUUAUUUUUACUCUUCUUGCCUCAAUUUUUCCUGGCACAUGAAUGGCUGAAAGCAAAGGCACCGCACCCUGGUGUGGUGAGGGAUAUUACAGUAGGAACACAUGCCAGGGUUACAAUUAGACUCUAGGUCUCCCUUGAUUUGCAGUGCAACAAUUUUGUGACAAACUUUGUCUUGUGAAUAUCCGAAGCUCUGGGACAAGAAACAGGUGUUGGUUUCCUUUCAUUCUGGAGCCCUUUAGUGAGCAGCAAGCAGUGGAGAUUGGAAGCAGCUGCACUGUAAAGGUCAUGUUGGUGGGCUAAAUACAUUUUAUUUUUCAGAAGAUUGUGUUGCUAAAGCCAGUCACUUAAAGACCCUGAGACAUGUAAACUAGGACCACAUGGCCAAACUAGCAGAGGACACAGCAUCCUGGCCAAUCCCUCCUGCUAUGCUCCAUUCAGCUUGCAGACUUGGCCUCCAGUUCAGAUGGGCACAGACCAGGGUUUGAAGAGUGAUGAGGUUAAUGGUACGUAGCAGAAAAACUGGGGGGAUAGUGUUGCCAACCAAACAUGCGACUUCAAUAUUUCCCAACCAAAAUAUUGGUUCUUCUUGGUUAUUGAAUUUCAGCAGCCAAAUUCACAGCUCACCCAUCCAGCCCAGUACACUGACAUCUUCACAGCAGCUGGCUCAUUUUGAGCAAAGUUCCUUGGGGGUUUGUUUUUUUAUUAUUAUUUUCAACUGUCUGGCCUAGAAUAUAUAGGUGGUAAAAUAAUUAUUGCAUCCCUGGAAAGAUGUAUUUGUUUGUGGAAAUCCUCUUCUACUUUCAUGAAUUCCACUGCUAGUGUUAAGUUUUGCCUAAUAAAAGGGAAGUUAGAAGUGA